CUUUAACAGUUUCAGUUUGAUACGAGACAAUUAUCACCACCAUAUGCAAUGUAUGACAUCUUUAUAAGCAUCUGCAAGAAAGUUAUCGGUGAAAGAGAAAAAAAAUUGCAAUACCUACCCAGUUUAACAGAUUGGAUGUGGCUGUUGAAAGAGUAAAGAUGUUUCAGAGUGAUUGAUAAUUAUGGAGAGGUGUAUCAGGCAGCAGUCAAAAGGUUCAUUACCAAUUAUACAGCUCUGUGACUCAUUUCUCACCGGCGCCACACACACACACACACAAGGCAGUGAAGCGUUUGGGAGUGCAUUGUCAUUACCACACCACCACACAUCACGGUUUCCUUGGCACCCCGCCCUGCCGAGCGCCGCCAAGCCCCGUAGAACAGUGCCCGUCCCGCUGCUGCUACGUUCGAAUGAUGCACGGUGGUGGUGGUGGUGGUGGUGAUCGACGAACGCGCUCACCUCUAUAUCGGACUGUGAGAGCGGAAAGGGGACAGGACGGGGUGGGCAUGGCGGGGUUCAAGAGCCGCUGUCGACAAAGCCACGCGUUCUUUUUGCGAGCAGUAACUUUGCAUAUCAAGGAGGAAUCUGCUUGGCGCUCUUGUGCUGCGUUAGGAGCAGUGUUUCUUGUGACCUGGUGCCGAGGACUGACUGCUGACGGUGGUGGUGGUGGUGGUGGUGGUGUUGGGUACUCUGUUUAAGGUUCAUGUUCUUGCUAGUGGUCAUCAUUAUUACAUAUAAAUAUUUUUUUUACCUUUAAUAUCGUCCACCUGUAAAUAAGGUAACUCUGAGUACUAUAUUUAAAGUUGAGGGUGUUGUUGUUAUUUUUAUUAUUGUAACUGUGAACUAUAUUUAAAGUUGAGGGUGUUGUUGUUAUUCUUAAUAUUGCUAGUGUUGUUUCGUGGUUAUAUAUACUUGUAGUGUUAGUAAAUUGUAAUGAUAGUUCCUCACUUAACCAUCACUAGUAUCUUUAACAUCACUCACCUGUAAAUAAAAUGACUAUGUGAACUCGAUUUCAGGUUCAGGUUAUUGUUGCUAGCAUUCUUAUUGCUCCUAAUGUUGUGACUGGUGCUUUUAGGUGUGAUGGUGAAUGAUACUUUCUCACUUAAGCCUUACCGCCUUUAACAUCAUCCACCUGUCAAUAAAAUAA